rnacentral:rRNA from 1 species
AUACGUAGGGGGCGAGCGUUGUCCGGAAUGAUUGGGCGUAAAGGGCGCGUAGGCGGCCUGUUAAGUCUGGAGUGAAAGUCCUGUUUUCAAGAUGGGAAUUGCUUUGGAUACUGAUGGGCUUGAGUGCAGGAGAGGUUAUCGGAAUUCCCGGUGUAGCGGUGAAAUGCGUAGAGAUCGGGAGGAACACCAGUGGCGAAGGCGGGUAACUGGACUGCAACUGACGCUGAGGCGCGAAAGUGUGGGGAGCAAACAGGAUUAGAUGCCCUGGUAGUCCACACUGUAAACGAUGAAUGCUAGGUGUAAGAGGUAUCGACCCCUUUUGUGCCGGAGUUAACACAAUAAGCAUUCCGCCUGGGGAGUACGGCCGCAAGGUUGAAACUCAAAUGAAUUGGCGGGG